CGAGUUCCCGUACGAUCACUGAAGUUAAGCAACGUCGAUCCUGGUCAGUACCUAGAUGGGUAACCGCUUGGAAAUCCCAGGUACUGUAAG